rnacentral:lncRNA from 1 species
GAAGAAGGAUUAGGAUUUCUUUGACUUUUAGGAAAAAUUAAGGAAAACAGAACUCAAGGUGCAAGUACAAUAAAANUUUUCAGAAAUUUGAAUUUUGGAUUUUGUGACUGAAAAUCCACAUUUGAUUUUUCAAUAGAAAGGUAAGAGAAAGCUUUGAACAUUAUGAAUUUGGCGAUAGACUCAAUCGAAAUUGAAAGGAUGAAUCAAACCCAAUAAAAAGGGAAGAAGGAUUAGGAUUUCUUUGACUUUUAGGAAAAAUUAAGGAAAACAGAACUCAAGGUGCAAGUACGAUAA